CGACGUGGAUAACCUGCCGUGCACAGGGGGAUAACACUUAGAAAUAGGUGCUAAUACCGCAUAAGCGCACAGUUUCGCAUGAGACAGUGUGAAAAGCCUGGAAGCGAUUCCGGGCGGUGCAUGAUGGAUCCGCGUCCGAUUAGCUAGUUGGCGGGGUAAAGGCCCACCAAGGCAGCGAUCGGUAGCCGGCCUGAGAGGGUGGACGGCCACAUUGGGACUGAGACACGGCCCAAACUCCUACGGGAGGCAGCAG
rnacentral:rRNA from 1 species